UCGCUUUGGCAGCACAUAUACUAAAAAACUGGACUGAUACAGAGAAGAUUAGCCUGGUACCUGUGUGAGGAUGAGAAGCAAAUUUGUGAAGCAUUCUAUAAACAA
ensembl:snRNA U6 U6 spliceosomal RNA